ACUCAAAGGAAUUGACGGGGACCCGCACAAGCGGUGGAGCAUGUGGUUUAAUUCGACGCUAACCGAGAAACCUUACCAAAACUUGACAUGGCACCUUAAGCGUUCUCAGCAGUGAGGCGUGUGGGCAACCUAGGUGUCACAGGUGAUGCACGGCUGUCGUCAGCUCGUGUCGUGAGAUGUUGGGUUAAGUCCCGCAACGAGCGCAACCCCCUUCUAUAUUUGCCAGCGGGUUAUGCCGGGAACUAUAUAGAUACUGCCCGUGAUAAGCGGGAGGAAGGAGGGGAUGACGUCAAGUCAUCAUGUCCCUUAUGUUUUGGGCUACACACGUGCUACAAUGGUACUAACAACGGGUUGCAACAUCGCGAGGUGAAGCUAAUCCCUUAAAAAGUAUCCCAGUUCAGAUUGCAGUCUGCAACUCGACUGCAUGAAGUCGGAAUCGCUAGUAAUCGCAAAUCAGCAUGUUGCGGUGAAUUCGUUCCCGGGUCUUGUACACACCGCCCGU
rnacentral:rRNA from 1 species